UGGGGGUACACAGAGAGGAGGUGAGAUUCCGACGUGGCUUUUGAAGAGCUGAAUGCACGCAGAGAAAACAGACAUGACCCUAAGAUUGCUUACACCCGCAAAUGAAAAUCACUGCUGAGUGACUACCUCCAGGUGGCAGAUUUAAGAGUGGUUUUUACUUUCUUUGUGGGUGUGUUUCUAAUUUUUCCUUCAACGAGUAUAUAUUAGUAUUUGUGUAAUAAAAGUUAUUCAAAAGGUGAGUACAUGGUAAACAGGUGCUAAGUGCACAGGGAGGUGCCGAUGAAAAUACCGGGGAAGCAGAGAGGAGGCAGUGUUCCUUCCAGCCCAGGAGGAUGGGAAAGGCUUUGGGACAAGGUCGUCAUUGAGUUGGGCCUUGAAGCCAGAGGGAGGCCUUGCAGUGGACGUCUGUGGGACGGCCUGCCCAGCACUGCUCUCCCUCUUUGUGGCCCACAGGAGCUGCCUGGGUCUCAGAUGGCCUUAGCCCUCAUCCUGCUUUGUCUCACUGUCUAGUGGGGGCGCCUGACCAAGCCUGGCCACUCGGAGUCCUUACCCUGGGACUUCCUGGCUGAAAGCCUGCAGUAUCUUUGGUGCAAGUUGUUAACAAAGAUGUGAAAUUCAGGAGCUGCACGUGUGGUGGAUGCAGGGAGGGAUUUGGCUGCUGCAUUUCCUGCAGGGUGGAGGAAACCAGUCUGCCGUGAGAGAGUGAAGUGGGCACCUGGAGAGAAGAGCACACAGCCAGAAGACAGGUGUCUGCCAGCCAGGAAGCGGGCCCUUGCCAAGAACCGAAUCUGCUGGCACCUUGAUCUUGGACUUCCCAGUGUCUAGAACUGGAGGCAGGCAGAGCAGACACUGUGGCCUCCGCAUCGCAGUGGAGGACACUGAGGCACAGGGAGGUGGAGCUCCUGGAGUUUCUUGGACAACGGCUGAGCCAGACCUGUACCUCUGACGUGACUCGUGAGAGCUACUGCAAAGCAGAGGCAUCUCUGCUUUUGCCUCCCUGUUGGGGCUGUGAUUCUCGGACUUAACACACGUCGGACACCUUUCCGAAGAAGAAAGGACACUAAGAGCAUUCAUUCAACAGAUCAUCUUAUUGAGCACCGGCUAUGUGCCAAGCUCUGGCUGGGCACUGAGGACUCAAGAGAUGAACCAGAUGUGGUCUCCACUCCAUAGCGGCAGCAUCUAUCAGCACUUGCUCUUGCUUCAUUCAGUCUCCCGUGUUGGCACUGAACAGAAUCACCGGCCAUGAGACCCUGCAGUGAUCUCUCCCACCCUGCAACCCUUGUUGUGUCCCAAAGCAUUCCACUGGGCCGUCUCUGCGAGAGGAAAGGCCCACUUCCAAAACUGGCGGGAAGAUAACCAGGAGGGAGGAGCAGAGAUGAGUGGCGUUAGGGAAGUGCUGAAGCCACCCCGGCUCUGGGGCAGACAGGAUGGGGCUGCAAGGAGAUGAGAGGCCACCUGGCUGGUGAGGAAGUGCUUCCAGGAGAGCAGCUGGGAGCAGCCUGCUGGCCGAAGGCUGAGGGGCUGACCGGGAGUCAAGGGCAGCCUGGAGAACAGCACUAACAGCCGCACAGGACGCUGGAAGGAAACCCGGAGCCCGUUCUUUGAACACUGACAGCCAUUAAGAUCCUGUUUCCACAGGUGGGGAUUGUGGGGCCACGCCCUACCCACUGCAAAUCAUUUUCUGAAUUGUCGUGUAGCAUCUUAAAGGCAGAAGCAUAAAGGUUCCCACCCAGCUUGACAGUGGGGGACCUGUCAUUAAGGCCUGAGGAAAACUUUUCAGCAUCUUACCUCUUCCCUACGCUGAGGCCAACUGUGCCUUGCUCUAUGAACAGAAAAAGAAUUCAGCCACAUUUUAGACUCUUGUAAAGCAGCUUUUAUCUGCUCAGUGAAAUGGCAGUGAGGGGACAAAUUUCCACACAAAGAACCCAAACUUUCCAGGCCUAAAUAGGGUUCCAGCAGUACACUCUUAACUCACAGGAAACAGCCUCCAACAUCGAUUUCUGCUUUCCUCUGCAGAAUUUGUAGCCCAAACACACACUGUGGGUUUAACUCAGCAGACCUGAGGACACAGGUGAAAGGGACUCAGAAAACCGCACAGCUCAGGGAGUGCACCAACAGGCAGGUGCAUCGGAAAGCAAAUUAGGGCCCACGGGGUUUCGGUCUUAAUGUGCAGGGGCGACGCCCACCACAGAGGAAAAGAAGCUGUUCGCUUUGUGUUGUUUUGCUUCUUAAGGCUGCCUUUGCAUCAGCCCGUCUUUAAAACAGCAAAGAAAUGCUACAGAGCCAGACCACUGGUGCAAGGGACUAGAGAGUGGAAUUAUCCUCAUGUUAUAAACAUAGAAAAUUAGACCUGCAACUUGGAGGAAGCCUUAGAAACCAUCUAACUCACUGACUUUAUUUUCCCAUUAAGAAUCUGAGGCUUUGGUCCUAAACAGAGUAAGUGUGGCUGGCUGCCACUUCUCGGUCUCCGGCUCAGCAGCCGGCGCUGGGUAAGGAAUUGUGCUAAUCUGCUAGGACAGCUGUAACAAAGGACCACAGGCUGGGGGUGUGAACAGCAGACAUUUGUCUCACAGUUCUAGAGGCUAGAAAUUUGAGGUCAAGGUAUCGGCAGGGUUACUUCCAUCUGAAGGCUGAGCGAGAGAAACUGUUCCAUGCCUCUCUCUCGGAGCUUCUGGGGCUUUGCUGGCAAUUUGAGGCACUCCUUGGCUUGUCGAAGCAUCACCCUGACCUCUGCCUUCGCAUUCACACGGCAUUCCUCUGAGUACCUCUCUGUCUUUGUGUCCAAAUUUCUUUUUUUAAAUAAGGACACCAGUCUUAUUGAAUUAGGGCCCAUCCUAGUGACAUCAUCUUAAUUUAACCAACUAUAUGAGCAAGGACCCUACUUCCACAUAAGGUUAUAUUCUGAGUUACUGGGGUUAGGACUUCAACAUACGAAAUUGGGGAGACCGCAAUUUAACUCAUAACAGAGCUCUGCCUACAUUGUGUCUGGUCCUCACCGCAAGGUUGCAGCUUGGGGUAAUCUGUCUUCUACGGAGGAUCAGGCCCUGAGAGAUGGGCAGUGCCCGGGGCACGGCAAGGAGGAUGUGAAGAGCAUGGACUCUGGGCCAGGCUGCCUGGGGUGGUAGCCAGCCCCACCUCCCAGGAGUUAAUGAACGUGGGUAAGCUCUCCCGUGCCUCAGUUUCUUCAUGUGCAAGACAGGAAUAAUACAGGUCCACAAUUUCAAAACCCUGAAAUCUC